AAUCCAUGUUGAGGGCAAUGCCAAAUCAAAUCUUUAUACUUUUUCCAUGCCUCAUAGAGCGAUUCAAAAUUAGUUUGGUUGAAUUGACCAAUCUCACUUCUGAGUUG